GUCCAGGGAUGGGAAUCGAACUCACAGUGUUUCACUUACCGGGCAAAUGCCAUGUCGCCUAGGCUACCCUGGA
rnacentral:tRNA from 1 species